GGAUCAAGACCAGGAAAUGUGGAGGAGGUCAGCAGCUCAGGAGGAAGGAGACAUCAUGACCGAACUACACAAGGGCAUUUGCAUCUCAUGCUGUCAGGUCACGCUGAGGCACAGGCCGCCGUGGCCUUGACUUCACGGGUUCGACUCCAACAUGCGACCUUUGCCACGACCUUUGUCAUGUGUCAUCCCUCAUCUGUCUCCCGCUGGGCAUCCUGUGUAUCCACUUCCUAAUAUCGAAGGAACGCCAUGAAGAUAAUGUCAGAUAAAGGUUCCCGGGUCGUCAGCAUGGCAACGCAAGAAUUCAGUAGGUAAUUAUGGGCCGUUUAGUUUUUAUGAAUUCAGCCUAAAGCAUUUUAAACAUCAGUGAGGUUUUAAAAUGAAUUUGGAUGGAAGUGACCUUGGAGAAAGUCCCCAACACUUUUCAGUUUCACUUGUUUAAUUCGGUUUAAUACAGCCGGACAAUCUGGCAGAUUCCAAUCAGAUAAUAACUAUCGCAUCAUUUGUAGCUGGUAUUAAAAUGUGAUCUGUAUCUGAGGACUCAC